rnacentral:pre_miRNA from 1 species
UCAUGAUGGUGGUGGUGAUGAUGAUGAUGAUGAUGAUGAUGAUUCACAUUUGGCAUCUACACACUUGCGGGGAUUAGUCAAGAAUCAGGCGGAUUGAGGUUAAUUUACAAAGUUCAUCAUCAUCAUCAUCAUCAUCAUCAUCAGCCUGU